rnacentral:rRNA from 1 species
UUUUAUGAGAGUUUGAUCCUGGCUCAGGACGAACGCUGGCGGCGUGCCUAAUACAUGCAAGUCGAACGCUUCUUUUUCCACCGGAGCUUGCUCCACCGGAAAAAGAGGAGUGGCGAACGGGUGAGUAACACGUGGGUAACCUGCCCAUCAGAAGGGGAUAACACUUGGAAACAGGUGCUAAUACCGUAUAACAAUCGAAACCGCAUGGUUUUGAUUUGAAAGGCGCUUUCGGGUGUCGCUGAUGGAUGGACCCGCGGUGCAUUAGCUAGUUGGUGAGGUAACGGCUCACCAAGGCGACGAUGCAUAGCCGACCUGAGAGGGUGAUCGGCCACAUUGGGACUGAGACACGGCCCAAACUCCUACGGGAGGCAGCAGUAGGGAAUCUUCGGCAAUGGACGAAAGUCUGACCGAGCAACGCCGCGUGAGUGAAGAAGGUUUUCGGAUCGUAAAACUCUGUUGUUAGAGAAGAACAAGGAUGAGAGUAACUGUUCAUCCCUUGACGGUAUCUAACCAGAAAGCCACGGCUAACUACGUGCCAGCAGCCGCGGUAAUACGUAGGUGGCAAGCGUUGUCCGGAUUUAUUGGGCGUAAAGCGAGCGCAGGCGGUUUCUUAAGUCUGAUGUGAAAGCCCCGGCUCAACCGGGGAGGGUCAUUGGAAACUGGGAGACUUGAGUGCAGAAGAGGAGAGUGGAAUUCCAUGUGUAGCGGUGAAAUGCGUAGAUAUAUGGAGGAACACCAGUGGCGAAGGCGGCUCUCUGGUCUGUAACUGACGCUGAGGCUCGAAAGCGUGGGGAGCAAACAGGAUUAGAUACCCUGGUAGUCCACGCCGUAAACGAUGAGUGCUAAGUGUUGGAGGGUUUCCGCCCUUCAGUGCUGCAGCUAACGCAUUAAGCACUCCGCCUGGGGAGUACGACCGCAAGGUUGAAACUCAAAGGAAUUGACGGGGGCCCGCACAAGCGGUGGAGCAUGUGGUUUAAUUCGAAGCAACGCGAAGAACCUUACCAGGUCUUGACAUCCUUUGACCACUCUAGAGAUAGAGCUUCCCCUUCGGGGGCAAAGUGACAGGUGGUGCAUGGUUGUCGUCAGCUCGUGUCGUGAGAUGUUGGGUUAAGUCCCGCAACGAGCGCAACCCUUAUUGUUAGUUGCCAUCAUUUAGUUGGGCACUCUAGCAAGACUGCCGGUGACAAACCGGAGGAAGGUGGGGAUGACGUCAAAUCAUCAUGCCCUUAUGACCUGGGCUACACACGUGCUACAAUGGGAAGUACAACGAGUCGCAAAGUCGCGAGGCUAAGCUAAUCUCUUAAAGCUUCUCUCAGUUCGGAUUGUAGGCUGCAACUCGCCUACAUGAAGCCGGAAUCGCUAGUAAUCGCGGAUCAGCACGCCGCGGUGAAUACGUUCCCGGGCCUUGUACACACCGCCCGUCACACCACGAGAGUUUGUAACACCCGAAGUCGGUGAGGUAACCUUUUGGAGCCAGCCGCCUAAGGUGGGAUAGAUGAUUGGGGUGAAGUCGUAACAAGGUAGCCGUAUCGGAAGGUGCGGCUGGAUCACCUCCUUU